CCCUCACGUGCCUGCGUGCCGCCUACCGGAAGGCUGCGCGCUUGCGCACUUGCCGCCCACCCUGGGCGUUGAGUCAGUCGCUUUAGCUGCUGAACUUUGGUCUCGGAAUUUAGGUCGUGAGUUGCUUGCUCUGUUCAAGUCACAGCAGCAUUCACGAGGCCUGGGAUAGGAGACAUUACGUACCUGUACAUGCUGAAGACUGUGUUGCCAUUGUGCAUAAGGUACACAUACACUUCCUCCACAUCCUCAUGCUUCAUCAUGCUGAAGGUAAAGAAAUACACACCUGGAAAGGGCAGGGAUUCACUCAUUCACUUAUACAGAGAUGUGACUUUGCCCAAUGACUCUUGAAUCUCACCUGAUACGGGGGCCCCAAAUCUCCCAGUCAUGACAUCGAAGAAGUUUCCAAUGUUGGUCUCCACGCUGCUGAAGAUAAUGCCGCUGUUCUGAUUGCUGAAAGCACCUGAAGUUGCCUUGAGUGUAUUGUGGUCUCGGUCUCUAUCGUACAACUGGGAAAAAGUAAAAGCUGGGAAAUAUUUGUGGAAGAAUUGAUGGGGAAAAAGAAAAUUAGCAUAAAGAAGAGGAUGGGAAAAAUCAGAAGGGUCACACAGUGGGAAAGGGGUCAUCAGGAACAGACUCCAUCAGUCUUCUAGGCUGUACUCUCUGCCUUUCUACAGAGCAGCACAGAGAGAUGCCAUCAAUAAAAUCCUUGGAGAAGAUGAAGAUGAGGAUCAGGGUGAUGCUUUUAAAAGCCAAGGGACACCCGAGAUUGCCAGCAAGCUGCCCGAAGUUGAGCAGAGGCACAAGACGAUCACCCAUCCACGCAGGUCCCUUAGCAGGAACAACUUCACUGACAUCUUGAUCUCCGACUUCCCACUUUCAGAAUGUGACAAGAAGAUUCUUUCUCUGUGGCACUUUACUGUGGCAAUCUUCAAGUAAAUAGAGAUGCCCCGUGUGGAAAAAAAAAAACAAAAAAACAAAAAAACAGGAACAACAGUUCUCUGUUGUGUAGCACAGCAAGGCCAGCUAUGAUCAGCAGCAUUUAAUGGUCUAUUUCAGAAUAGCUAAUGUUUAAUGUUUCUAACAUAAAGAAAUAAUAAAUUUUUAAUUAGAUAUUUUCUCUA